UACAACAGAACUCCAUAAAAAGGAAAAAUCAAAAUGAAAGGAAAGGAAAAAUUCUGGAAAAAAUAAAAGAAGGUGAAAAGAAAUUGAGGUCUAAACCAAAGUCUCAUGAGAUUCUGAAAGAAAUAAAGUACUAUCAGGUGCAAUAUAUGGAAUUGAUGAAUCAAGAGAUAGAAUGGAAAAUAAAGCAAAUGAGACAAAAGACAUUUGAAUCAGCAGAUAAAUGUGGGAAAUUUCUGUCAUGGCAAUUGAAAAAGAGGCAAAAAUUGAACACUGUGACAAGUUUAGAAGUGGACGGAAAGAUUAUCCACAAACCAAAUGAGAUAAGUAAUUGUUUUCAAGGUUAUUUUAGGAAAUUAUAUGCACAAGGGCCAGUUAAUGAACAGGAAAUAGAAGAAUUUGUUAAGAAACAUGGAUUACCAAAAAUUUCAGAGCAAAGCAGAAGGAUUUUGAAUGAGAAAAUAACAGGACAAGAAAUAGAGGGUGCCAUUCAGAAGAUGCAAUUGGGAAAAGCUCCAGGACCAGAUGGUUUGACCGCCAGAUACUAUAAAGUGUUGAAGGAAUGGUUAGUACAACCACUGAAGGAAGUAUGUAAUGAAAUUUUGGAGGGGAAAAAGGCACCAGAGUCGUGGAAAGAAGCUUUUAUCUCACUUAUACCGAAAACUGAGACUGAAAAGAACCAGGUUAAAAACUACCGCCCUAUAUCAUUACUCAAUGUGGAUUACAAAAUUUUUGCGGACAUUAUGGCAAAAAGACUGAAGAGAGUGUUGGUAGGGGAGAUUCAUAAAGACCAAACUGGCUUUCUUCCAGGGAGAUAUAUGUCGGACAAUGUGAGGAACAUUAUAGACAUUUUGGAACUGUUAGAAGUGGACAUUAAUAGGAAGGCUGUUUUAAUUUUUGUGGACGCGGAGAAAGCCUUUGACAAUAUUGGUUGGAGUUUUAUGAAGAAGAAUCUCCAAGGGAUGGGGGUAGGUCAAGGGUUUGAAAAUGGUAUAGGUGCAAUAUACUCUAAACAAAAAGCAAAGUUAAUUGUAAACAAUGUGGUAACGGAAGAAAUACCUAUAGAAAAAGGUACACGACAGGGGUGCCCAAUAUCCCCUCUAUUGUUUAUAUUAGUCCUGGAGGUUUUGUUAAAUAUGAUUAGAGGAGACCAGUUGGUUAAAGGAGUACAAGUCGGAGCCAAACAGUACAAGUUAAGGGCAUUUGCAGAUGACCUAGUAUUGACCUUGCAACAGCCAGAUACUAGUACUAAAAGAGUAUUAGAACUAAUUGAGAUAUUUGGUCAAGUAGCAGGAUUUAAACUGAACAAACAGAAAACGAAAGUGUUGGAUAAAAAUUUAACAUUGGCCGAAAAAGAGAAGUUUCAGAAUGAAACAGGACUAGUGAUAACGAAAAAAGUAAAGUACCUGGGGGGUAAACUUAACAUCUAAGAAUGUGAAUUUAUUUAAGGACAAUUAUGAUAAAUGUUGGACAGAGGUAAAGAAGGAUCUAGAAAUAUGGUCAAGGUUGAAACUUUCUUUGUUAGGCCGAAUUGCUGUUAUCAAGAUGAAUGUAUUGCCUAGAAUGUUGUUUUUAUUUCAGACAUUGCAGAUUUUGGACAAGAUGGACUGUUUCAAGAAGUGGCAGAAAGAUAUAUCUAAAUUUGUCUGGCAGGGCAAAAAGCCCAGAAUAAAAUUUAAGAAUCUAACUGAUGCUAAAGAUAGAGGGGGGUUUGCCCUGCCGGACUUAAGACUCUACUAUGAAUCGGCGGCUUUCUGCUGGUUGAAACAGUGGCUACUUCUUGAGAAUACAGAUAUUUUGGAUCUAGAAGGGUUUGAUAAUAGAUUUGGUUGGCAUGCAUAUAUAUGGUAUGAUAAGGUAAAACAGCAUAAAGGUUUCAAAAACCAUAUUGUUAGGAAAGCAUUAUACAAUGUUUGGAUGCGGUAUAAAGAUCUAUUGGAAAGUAAAACUCCCAGGUGGUUGUCACCAAUGGAAGCUAAAGAGGUGAAAAACUUAAUAUGGAGUCUAAAUGGCCAAAAUAUUGUGAAAUUCUAGAACAAGAUGGGGAAAAAGUUAAAUUACAGAGCUAUGAGAAAUUAAAGUCCAAAGUGCGAGAUUGGUUGCACUACCUUCAGAUAAACGAGACAUUUAAACAGGACAGGAAAAUAGGUUUCCAGAUGGAGAGGUCAAAAUUGGAAACAGAACUGUUAGAACCCAAUACUAAGAAUCUGUCGAGAAUGUAUAAUCUGCUGUUGAAAUGGAAUACACAGGAUGAAACGGUGAAAUCAGCUAUGAUAAAAUGGGCACAAGAUAUCGGUCAUAACAUUAUGUUUGCUGACUGGGAACAGUUGUGGACCACCGGUAUUAAAUUUACGGCAUGUAAUGCCUUAAGAGAAAACAUUAUGAAAAUGAUGUAUAGGUGGUACAUGACCCCAGUCAAGCUUGCAAAAAUUUAUCAUUUGCCCAAUAACAAAUGUUGGAAAUGUAAUGAGACUGAAGGUACUUUUUAUCACCUUUGGUGGACCUGCCCGAGGAUAAAAGCUUUUUGGGAAAUGAUCUAUAAUGAAAUUAAGAAGGUUCUUAAAUGGACCUUCCCUAAAAACCAGAGGCUUUUCUCUUGGGCAUUGUCGGCCAAUUGGUGAGAAGGAAGGACAGGACGUUUUUUAUGUAUGCGACAACAGCAGCAAGGAUUCUUCUAGCAAAGUAUUGGAAGACACAACAACUACCCACACUGGAAGAAUGGCAGACGAAGGUGAUCGACUAUAUGGGACUGGCCGAAUUGACUGGCAGAAUCCGUGACCAGGGGAAAGAGACAGUGGAAGAAGAUUGGAAGAAAUUUAAAGUUUAUCUUAGAACUUGUUGUAAAAUUCAGGAAUGUUAAAAUGUCAAGGGGUUGGGAAACAGAGAACUGCAGCUGUAAUUAAUAAUAUUAGAAGAACUUAAAAGAAAUUGAAUUGAAUAAUUAGUUGAUUGAGGAGUUGCU
rnacentral:lncRNA from 1 species